rnacentral:rRNA from 1 species
CCUACGGGAGGCAGCAGUGAGGAAUAUUGGUCAAUGGGCGAGAGCCUGAACCAGCCAAGUCGCGUGAGGGAGUACUGCCCUAUGGGUUGUAAACCCCUUUUGCCGGGGAGCAAAAGCCGGACGUGUCCGGCUGUGAGAGUACCCGAAGACAAAGCAUCGGCAAACUCCGUGCCUGCAGCUGCGGUAUUACGGGGGAUGCGAGCGUUAUCCGGGUUUAUUGGGGUUAAGGGGUGCGAAGGCGGAUUUUUAGGGCAGCGGGCAAUGCGUGGGGCUCAACCCCAUCCAGCCGUUGAAACUGGGGAUCUAGAGUGUGCGAGAGGUAUGCGGAAUGCGUGGUGUAGCGGUGAAAUGCAUAGAUAUCACGCAGAACCCCGAUGGCGAAGGCAGCAUACCGGUGCACAACUGACGCUCAGGCACGAAAGCGUGGGUAUCGAACAGGAUUAGAUACCCUUGUAGUC